GAAGCUGCACAAGUGGUAGAGUCAAAAGCACAAGUAGCCAUGACUUGGGUAUGUCCAGUUUGCUCUUCUAGCAGUUUUUUGUCUUAUUUUAUUUGUUUUGUUGUUUACUCGUAAAUUUUGGACAAGAACCAUAAUAAAGAUGACCUUACUCGUAAAUUUCAAUAGCCAUAUACACCAGGCCAAGUGAAAUGAAAUUGAUGUUUGUCACUUCGUAUUUAUUUUAAGGUAUACCAUGAUCAAUUACUUUUUCUCUUUAUUUUUGGUUCUAGGACUUCUCAGUCUCACAGACUAAAAUAAAGCAUAUGGCAUACAGCAAUCCGGUAUCCGCUAACCAUGUUACAAGCUACAAAUCUGGUCCAAAUGCUUGCUUGCCAAGACGAGAUCACCAUGGUUGUGGGAUGUCUUCAAUAUGGGUUGAAUAUUUUGUACUAUUUUAAUAAGUUAUUUUUGGAGUAGUAAUUGAUACUUUUGGUAUAUUGAUGUCGACUUUUUGACUAGGCUAAUGAUGUUCUUAGUAAUCAUUUAGAUUAACUCUACAUUUUGGUAUAUUGUAUUUGAUUGCACUUAAUACUUUUAUUCAUUGAAAUUAUGGAAAACAUGAUUAUAUUA
rnacentral:lncRNA from 1 species